GGCUCCAUUUCCUCUACGUGGAAUCAGACUGGAACUGUGACUGGAAGACUUUCAGCCAAGCAUCCUAAUAUCCAAGGUAUCUCCAAGCACCCAAUUCAGAUUACUACACCUAAGAAUUUUAAAGGUAAAGAAGACAAGAUUCUCACGAUCUCCCCGAGGGCCAUGUUUGUUUCAUCCAAAGGCCACACCUUUCUAGCAGCAGACUUUUCACAGAUUGAAUUGCGCAUUCUUGCACAUUUAUCUGGAGAUCCAGAACUUCUGAAGUUAUUCCAGGAAUCUGAAAGAGAUGAUGUAUUUUCUACUCUGACUUCACAGUGGAAGGAUGUGCCCGUGGAACAGGUGACACACGCA
rnacentral:lncRNA from 1 species